rnacentral:tRNA from 1 species
GGCACGGUAGCACAAUGGCAGUGCACUUCGUUAUCCACAAUGAAGAGGUGUGGGUUCGAGUCCCGCCUUUGCCU